rnacentral:lncRNA from 1 species
AUUCUCUUGAUUGACUGUCGAAUUUUAUCUGCAUUAAAAAUGAAAGUCAAAGAGAUUUCUAACCGUCCUCCACUAGAGAGGAAUACUAAUGAGGCUUUAUUUUCUAACUGAAGUAUCUGACACUCACAUUUAACCAAAUUUAGUUUGAUUUAUAUCAUAUUUUAUAAGGCAAAGCACACCGACACUAUUUUAUAGCUACAAUAUGAAAGUUAUAAAGAAAAGGACACUAUCAAAGAAUCAAGAAAGAUGACCAAUAUUUUACUGUUUUUAACUCUCACAAGAAAAUAUUGACUGAAUUCAGUACAAAGACAGCUAUGUAGAAAAAAUAAUAAAGGCUUUCAAGAGGCCUAGUGACCUCCUCAAGAUCCAAAACCCAAAGCUGAAUCUCAGUUAAAGUCUGGUCAUAUAUUAUUCAUAUAUAUACAUAUAUAUAUACACACACACAUAUAUUAUAUCAUAUGUGUUCUCUUUUGAUUUACAUUUUUAGAUUUAAUACUUGAUUUCUUAAGGAGACAAUGUAUCUAGAAAAGUUCUAUCUACAUUUUAAAGAAGAAAGUGGGCAAUUCUGUAAGGCAUUCUGAGUCUGUCAUUUACCCUGGUUACACUUCUAAAGUGAAUGUUCCGUGAAAUAUGAAUAUGGCAAGUUGGAAUUAAUGGUAACAACAAGUAGGUCUGCCCACUUGGCACAGUAAAACCAAAUACUGAUAUUAGGGUUGCAGCUAAAGAAAGUGGGGCAUUUAUUGCAGGGCACCAAGCAAAGAGAAUUGGGCAGUUCGUGCGUAAGACCCAAACUCCCAAAUGGCUUACAGGUAGAGUUUUUAAAGGCAGGGGUGACAUGCAAAAUCAUAAAUCAAUAUACCCAAGCUACACAUUGGUUUUACCUAAAAAGGCAGGACAUCAAGAAGCAAGGGCUACAGGUCAUAGGUGAAGUCAAAGAUUUUCUGAUUUGUGAUUGGUUAAGGAGCCAAAGAUUUGUCUAAAAAUCUGGGGUCAGCAGAAAGGAAUAUUGAGCUCUGGCUUGUGGGUGUGACCACCUCCAGGUCCCUGAGGAAGAAAUUUAGAACAAAGAAUGACAAUCAGAAUUUCGUCCUCAGUUUCCCCUCAUUUGGAGUCUACAUGACAGCAGACAGCAUUUUCCAUUUGGUAGGGGUUUGGAUUUCUGUGAGAUGAUAUCUCACUGUAGUUUUGUUUUGCAUUUCUCUAAUAACCAAUGAUGUUGAAUAAUUUUUCAUAUAUCUGCUGGCCAGUUGUAUGUCU